AGAGCAAACUGUAGCCAAGAACAACUUGCCGAUCAGAUCAUUUAAAUAAAAUUAGGGCAAUAUAAUUAAUAUUGCAAGAUCAUCGGCAAGUCAUCCUUGGCUGCAAACCACUCUCU
rfam:Erythranthe guttata cultivar DTN x IM62 scaffold_34_contig_121, whole genome shotgun sequence.